GAUGAACGCUGGCGGCGUGCUUAACACAUGCAAGUCGAACGAUGAUCCUCACUUGUGGGGGGAUUAGUGGCGAACGGGUGAGUAACACGUGAGUAACCUGCCCUUAACUCUGGGAUAAGCCUGGGAAACUGGGUCUAAUACCGGAUAUGACCUUCCAUCGCAUGGUGGUUGGUGGAAAGCUUUUUGUGGUUUUGGAUGGACUCGCGGCCUAUCAGCUUGUUGGUGAGGUAAUGGCUUACCAAGGCGACGACGGGUAGCCGGCCUGAGAGGGUGACCGGCCACACUGGGACUGAGACACGGCCCAGACUCCUACGGGAGGCAGCAGUGGGGAAUAUUGCACAAUGGGCGCAAGCCUGAUGCAGCGACGCCGCGUGAGGGAUGACGGCCUUCGGGUUGUAAACCUCUUUCAGUAGGGAAGAAGCGUAAGUGACGGUACCUGCAGAAGAAGCGCCGGCUAACUACGUGCCAGCAGCCGCGGUAAUACGUAGGGCGCAAGCGUUAUCCGGAAUUAUUGGGCGUAAAGAGCUCGUAGGCGGUUUGUCGCGUCUGCCGUGAAAGUCCGGGGCUCAACUCCGGAUCUGCGGUGGGUACGGGCAGACUAGAGUGA
rnacentral:rRNA from 1 species